rnacentral:tRNA from 1 species
GAGGGUAUAGCUCAAGUGGUAAAGCACAUGCUUGGCAUGUAUGAGGUCCCAGGUUUAAUCCCAAGUACCUCCA